GGUUUGGGACUUGCUUCGUUCUUCCGUUCGGUCUCUCCUUUCGGAGACGUCGUCGGAUCGUUCGGUGUGUCCCUACUGGUGAUGGGACGACGCAUGAGUGGCGAUCGAGAUAUGUUUCCUUGCAGGCUCCAUGCUUUUGGUAUCGAACUGCAUUGGCUUAUCUUCUUCAUUAUUGAGCUUGCGCUGUCGCUUCUAGCGUCGGUUGCGAUCGUUCGUUGGGUUCCUGCGUUUCAUAUCGAAUUCGACAUUUGGAUGGACUUCUGGUCCCGUCUCGGUUGAUGGAUCCCCGCUCGCCUCGUGCGUUAUCGGUGGUAAUUUUUUUGGCAUCGACGUUUGCCUUACGAGCCGCAGUGAGUAAUGUCACGACGUGUUCGUGAUGGAACGUCGAUGCAUUCGGCUCUCUCGGGUGCAAAGAAUUUCUGGUCAUCGCAUCGGUCCAAGACCCUUGUGAGCGUAACGUUUUAAAAGCGUUGUUGCUUAUGCUUUUACGACCCUCGUUCUCGUCCAGGAGCUCACUGAGCUUGUUCGUUCUGUGUUGUAACUGGAGAGCCAUCGAGGUCGAGGACGGAAUCUACCUGGUUGAU
rnacentral:misc_RNA from 1 species